UACGUAGGGGGGCAAGCGUUGUCCGGAUUUAUUGGGCGUAAAGCGCUCGCAGGUGGUUUGUCGCGUCGUGCGUGAAAGACCCCGGCUCAACUGGGGAGGGUCGUGCGAUACGGGCGAACUGGAGGCCAGUAGGGGGAUGCGGAAUUCCGGGUGUAGUGGUGGAAUGCGUAGAGAUCCGGAGGAACACCAGCGGCGAAGGCGGCAUCCUGGACUGGUACUGACGCUGAGGUGCGAAAGCGUGGGGAGCAAACAGGG
rnacentral:rRNA from 1 species